AGCAGUCGCCGCGGUAAUACGUAGGGUGCGAGCGUUAAUCGGAAUUACUGGGCGUAAAACGUGCGCAGGCGGUUGUGUAAGACAGGUGUGAAAUCCCCGGGCUUAACCUGGGAACUGCGCUUGUGACUGCACAGCUAGAGUAUGGCAGAGGGGGGUGGAAUUCCACGUGUAGCAGUGAAAUGCGUAGAGAUGUGGAGGAACACCGAUGGCGAAGGCAGCCCCCUGGGCCAAUACUGACGCUCAUGCACGAGAGCGUGGGGAGCAAACAGGAUUAGAUACCCGCGUAGUCCCUGUCUCUUAUAC
rnacentral:rRNA from 1 species